ACAAAAAAAAAACAAAAAAAAACAAAAGACGUGAUGGAGGACUGGCCGAAGCUACUUUCUUCCCCUCUGCCUCUGUUCUUUGUGCGCUUCUCCUCUGGUCUUGCUUUUCUUUGCUUGGCUUCUUUUUUCUUAUCUUGUUCUCCCUGUCUCCCUUAGUGUCUGCCUGGUAUUCUUGUGGUGCUCAUCCUGUUCUUAGUGUAUGUGUCGUCUGUUCGUCUGUGUUUUUUUGUUCCUGUGUUCUAUGUUGGCAUGAGCUUGCUCCCGGUUGCUGGAGUUUUGAAGGAGAUUCUACAGUCCCUUUCCUCUGUUUCACUCUGCCUCUGUGUUUUUUUCUCUGGUUCGUCCUUCCUGUAUUUGCUCGUUCGUCACCGUCUCUCUCAACUGGUUUUUUCCUGUCCUCUCCUCCCUUGGUUUUUCUGUUCUUUCGUUCGUUUCCUUCCUGUAUCUGCUCGUUCAUCCCCUUUUCUCUCUACUGGUUUUUUUUUCCUAUCCUCUCCCCUUCCCCAUCAUUCGUGGCCUUUCUCUGGCUUUUAUAUAGCCUGAGAAUGCCAAGCGUUCGUGCAUCGUGGGGGCGAGGGAUAGCCGCUGGGAGACGUGGUCCAUAAUUAUAACGGUUUUGGUGCAUUUACUGCUGGAACGGUUCCUGAGGAAGAAGGCGAGUCGUUUCUCCCUCCCAGUUUUUUUUCCUCUCUUCUUCCCCGGUCUCAGUCUCUUCCCCAUCACACCGAUUUUUCAAUCUCUAAUCUCAACCCCAAGGAGCUGCAACUCCUCAUAAAAAAAAUAAAAAUUAAAAGUCUUUCUCCCUCCCAGUCACCGACCUUCAGCCUCUCUUCCCCGCUCUCACUCUCCCCGUUAACCAUCAUCCUUCAUCUCAGCCUCCUCACCGAAAACACAAGCCUCCACCCAUCAAUCCUCAGCCACGGGGAAACCGAAGGAAACACAUACACAGACCGCCCCUUCACUUCCUUUUUCCGCGACCGACCGACCCCUCAAACUGGCCACACACGGUCUUCUUCCCCCAUCAACAUUUCUCUUUCCUCCCCAGCUGACUACCAUGAGCAACAGAGAAGCAGCACCCGAAGACAUAAUGGUUCCAGCCACAGGCAGCUGCAAAACAGAAAAGAGUCUUCCUCAAAACUGAGCUGCAGGAGCAAAAGUCUUGUAGUGUAGUUUUUCUUUUUUUUUCCUUCCUCCCGCGGUGCAGCUUCUUCAUGCUCAAAAACCGUGAGGCUCCAGCAUGGCAGUCAUGGACUGUCCCAGCCUCCAUCGAAGCAACGUUCAGAAGCUCUCUUUCGCUCCAGCAGCCGUGAACGAGCUCAAGCCAGUAGCAGCAAAAGAGCUCCAACAGCUCCAACAACUCCAGCAAACUUCAAACUCCAAUAAGCAACCCUUUAUCUCCUCAUCGCGCUCCUAAGGCCAGCGUCCACCGGCUCCUCAGUCAUGAGAAGUUUCUUCUCCACCGUGAAACUGUGAGAACCAGUCUUCCCUCACCAGCGUCUCCAUGGCCAGCAUCAGGCCUAUCACAUAAAUGAAAGAAUUGAUUGAUGAGUUGAAGUACUGAAAUUGAAAGGACAAAGAGAUGGCCAAACUUAGAAAAGAGAUGUUGGUGCAGUCCAAACUGGAACAUUGUUCGGUAAUCGGGUCAUAUCUGGAGCUGUAGAUCUCGGAUUUAGGUCUACUUUAUAUGGAUGGAAAGAUAAGACCUAUGCUUACAACUUUCAUGAGGAGCCCAAGAUUUAACAAGGCCGGUUUCAAGUCCAAACUGUAGCAACAACGAAGAAGUCUGAAUCUGUCCUGCAGCCCAGACACUGUUCAGUGUUCAGCCCAUAUCUCGAGUUCUAGAAGUCCAAAUGAUCUCCCAUUUUUACCCUGGAAAGAUGAGACAAUUUCCUAGAACUUUCAUGAUUGAAGUCUGUUCAAAUUAUGACGUUAUCAAUGACGUUUUUAGCAGACAAGAAGAUAAGAAUUGUCACCAAGUCAAGAUGUGGCCACCCACUCAUCAAUUAGUCAACAAAUCAAUAGUUCUGAAUUUUGGCCUAUAAAAGGAGGCAUUUUCCAUGUAUUUAGGCAUCUUGGUGUUCAGAUCAAGAUCAUGCUCUUUGUAGGAUCAGAACUAAAUUGAUCCUUCCAUGAGUCGCAUAAAUUGGUCAACUACAGAAAGCCGUAAAAAGCUUAGAUUGGAUUUGAGCCUUCGUUUGUGAAUCCUUGUGUCUUUUGGUUUUAUUAUUAGCAUAUUAUUUUGUUUUGUUAUUUCUUAUAUUUGUUUAAGUGUGUUUCAGGUUUGUCAGUGUUCGUUGUUUCAGGUGAUGUCUUCUAUACUCUAUCUUUCUACCUUAGGACAUUGAGGAUAAUGUCUCGUUUUGGUUGGGGGGAGAAGGUAGUAGUAUUUAAAAAAAAACAAAAAAAAAAAAAACCAUUUGGCUAAACUGUUCUUACUAGGAUGGCAGAGUAAGGGGGAAUUUUAUUGACUCUUGAGACGCAUCUUAGUAAACAUUUUCUAAUGGUCAUUUGCAAUAUUCAUAACAAGGCCUAUUAGAAUACUUCUUGAAAUAUUCAGGUUUACAAACUCUCGCAUUGUUAUCACUUGAUUCUGCUCAUAUACUCAUUUAACAAGUAUUCUUAAACCUUCAUUUUCACACACACACUUUAACAUAUGAUUGUGGGUUGCACAUUGGAUUAUUACAUUAUUUAUGUUCUUUUGUUAAAGGUAACAACUAAGGGAUAGGAAUAGUCUAUGCUUUUCAAAAAAAAAAACAACAACAACAAAAAGAAAUUGAUGAUAAUAAAAGCGUAGAUAAGUUUGGUUUCGUAGCCUCCCUAACCUAAGCAAUUAAGCCCGAAGGGGUGUUUUAACACCUAAUACCCUAAAGUCAACUGACUUGGGAGCUAUUGGCCCAAAGCUUGUUACACGGGUUAAGGAGAAAAGCUUAAGGGAAUCAAACAUUGCACUAUCUACGUAUCAGUAUCUGCAACCCGAGUUACUAAGCUCGUAGGGGUGUCUCAACACCUAAUGCCCUAAGAGCAACUGGUCUGGGAGUCAUUAGCUGAAAGCUCAUUGCAUGGGUUAAAGAUGCAUUGUGUUAUAUGUAUAUAUAUUCAAAAAGAAGAAAAAAGAAAAAAAAAAAAGAAGAAGAAAAAAAAAAGAGAUAAUAAUCCCAACCCAAGGAAGUUAACCUUAAACAUUAGAACAAAAUAUUGUUUUCUUCCAAUAAAAGCCCCAUCAUCUAUGUUUUCAUACAUUGAGCACAUAAAAAGGAAGGUUUAUUAAUAUUUUGUUUAAGGGGUAUUGAGCAGAUAUAUAAAUUUAAUGAGAGUUUGUUUAUCUGAAUAAAUUAACGGAAGUUGAAUGAUGAAUGCCUUGCUUUGUGGAAUUUGCAAAUUGUUUUUCUAUUUUAAUGCUUUGAUUACUAGGGACUAGUAAUAAGCUGGUUGGGGGGUGUGAUUAGUACUUAAAAGUGCAUUUUUAUCAAGGUUUUAUAUCAUCAUUCUGCACUUGAAGUAUCAAUAACUCCUUAACUAAAGCAUGUUUUAUAAUAACAUAUCUAAUAAUAUAAGAUACCUUUAAUUUAUGGUAAAUGUUCAUCUUAAAUGCAGGCCUAUCACAUAAAUGAAAGAAUUGAUUGAUGAGUUGAAGUACUGAAAUUGAAAGGACAAAGAGAUGGCCAAACUUAGAAAAGAGAUGUUGGUGCAGUCCAAACUGGAACAUUGUUCGGUAAUCGGGUCAUAUCUGGAGCUGUAGAUCUCGGAUUUAGGUCUACUUUAUAUGGAUGGAAAGAUAAGACCUAUGCUUACAACUUUCAUGAGGAGCCCAAGAUUUAACAAGGCCGGUUUCAAGUCCAAACUGUAGCAACAACGAAGAAGUCUGAAUCUGUCCUGCAGCCCAGACACUGUUCAGUGUUCAGCCCAUAUCUCGAGUUCUAAAAGUCCAAAUGAUCUCCAAUUUUUACCCUGGAAAGAUGAGACAAUUUCCUAGAACUUUCAUGAUUGAAGUCUAUUCAAAUUAUGACGUUAUCAAUGACGUUUUUAGCAGACAAGAAGAUAAGAAUUGUCACCAAGUCAAGAUGUGGCCACCCACUCAUCAAUUAGUCAACAAAUCAAUAGUUCUGAAUUUUGGCCUAUAAAAGGAGGCAUUUUCCAUGUAUUUAGGCAUCUUGGUGUUCAGAUCAAGAUCAUGCUCUUGCUCUCUCUUUAUAUUUUAUAAUUCUUAAGUUUUGCUUA